GGAUUCCCUUAGUAACGGCGAGUGAACAGGGAUUAGCCCAGCACCGAAGCCUGCGGUCAUUUGGCUGCUAGGCAAUGUGGUGUUUAGAUUGGUUAUUGGCACUUCUGCUUCAUCCUAAGUCCAUCAAUGAGUACGGCUAAUUGACCGGCCCAAAGAGGGUGAAAGGCCCGUGUGGAUGAAGAUCAAGUGGGACAGAAGUGCUUCAAACUGAUCUUGGAGUCGGGUUGUUUGUGAAUGCAGCCCAAAGUGGGUGGUAGACUCCAUCCAAGGCUAAAUACUGGCACGAAUCCGAUAGCAAACAAGUACCGUGAGGGAAAGUUGAAAAGUACUUUGAAGAGAGAGUAAACAGUGCGUGAAACCGCUCAGAGGUAAACGGGAGGAGUUGAACUGGAAUCUUCGGGAAUUUAACUGAUAAGUAUGGCAUGCGCUUGAGCAUGUUGGCCAGCAUUGGGGGUUUGCUUGAUUGCAGGCCUUGGCUCUUCGGAGUUUGGGUACACGUUGCACUUAUCAUGUGUUGUGUGCUUUGAUUGCGUUGGGCUUGCUUGUCAGUGCAGUUUCCCGGGGUGAUCACCACGACCGGCGUGGUUGUCUGUUUGCUGCGGUUAAACCGGUCAAAUUUGGUCAUGCUGGCUGGGUUUGGUCGGGAUGGCAGGUAGCUUGUUUGCUCAUUCGAGCUUGCGGGUGUUAUUAGCUGGCCGUAGUAAAUUUGUGCAAUAUGCCGGAGAUGACGGCUUCGUUCGCGCUGUUCGGCAGACCAAAUUGGGUUUGAUUGGCACGUACUUGUUUUGACAGGUCUGUCAGUAGCCCAGUGGGGUUUGUUGUUGGCAGUGGUCUGUAACGUGCUUUGGGCCUAUAGUCUGUGGUGUAGUGGUAGACUAUCCUCCCGACCCGUCUUGAAACACGGACCAAGGAGUUUAACAUGUGCGCGAGUCAUUGGGCGUUACGAAACCCAAAGGCGCAGUGAAGGUAAAGGUUCGACUUGUUCGGACUAAGGUGAGAUCUCGUUGUAAUCAUUUAGUAUUAUCAAGCAUUGAUGCAAUGGGCGCAUCACCGGCCCGUCUCAUGGUGUAGUCAUAAGGCUUUGCUUUGUGCGUCAUCGGGGCGGAGCUAGAGCGUACAUGUUGAGACCCGAAAGAUGGUGAACUAUGCUUGCGCAGGUUGAAGCCAGAGGAAACUCUGGUGGAGGACCGCAGCGAUUCUGACGUGCAAAUCGAUCGUCAAACGUGAGUAUAGGGGCGAAAGACUAAUCGAACCAUCUAGUAGCUGGUUCCCUCCGAAGUUUCCCUCAGGAUAGCUGGCAUUCUGAUAAUUAAUAAACAGUUUUAUCCGGUAAAGCGAAUGAUUAGAGGUAUUGGGGAUAAAACAUCCUCAACCUAUUCUCAAACUUUAAAUGGGUGAGAAGCUUUGCUCGUUUAACUAGAGUGAGGCGUUGAAUGUGAGUGCCAAGUGGGCCAUUUUUGGUAAGCAGAACUGGCGCUGUGGGAUGAACCAAACGCUUGGUUAAGGUGCCUAACACGACGCUCAUGAGAUACCACAAAAGGUGUUGGUUGGUAUAGACAGCAGGACGGUGGCCAUGGAAGUCGGAAACCGCUAAGGAGUGUGUAACAACUCACUGCCGA
rnacentral:rRNA from 1 species